CCCGCUGUCUGUAGAACAAAAGGGCCUGUUCAGACGGACCGGCCACACAGCACGCCACGCUCGUGGAGCGCGGGUGUCGGGUUCAAACCUCUGGCUGGAGCAGAGCUGACAGGACGAGCCACAGAGCUUUGAAGGACAGACGGUGGAGCCAGGCAGCUCAUUCGGAAGGUUUCAUUAUGACGAAGGGUUACGGCAACAACCAUCCGCUGGUGAACAUGAUGCUCAUCUUGGCUCUGGUAGUCUCUACGCAGGCCCUGCCAAGCCCAUUCCGCACCACCGAUGUGACCUCCCCUCUCACCGAAAGUGGACUCGUCCCUCCCGGCAUUGACCUCGGCCAGACCUUGGAGUUGGACACGGCGCCGAACAUAGGGGGCACCACCGGUCAGGUUGGCCCGGGUAGCAGCUGUGGCCUGAGAGGACGCUGCGGAGAUAGUUGCUGCACCAUCCUGACCUCUGACCUCACAGGACUGAAGUGUCCACCAACGCAGGUGUUUGUUGUUAGCGCCGGGAGGUGUGUGGAUUGUGUGAUCGACCCACAUCCGUUGUGUCCGCGGGUGUCCGCCGGUGGUCGGUUCUAGGGUCUGUUCGGGAGCAAUGUACGUCGUUAAUGCGCGUGCGCUGGGGUGCACGGUUCGGGUCAACGAGUGAUAGUGCUUGUAACUUGUAAGCACAGGCCACAGCGAUGGCGAUGAACGACCGCCCGGUUUGGAUAUUUUACUAAUUUCAGAGCCCUAAUUAUUAAAUCAUAAAGUAGUUUCUUUUUAUAUCAAUACUGAACAGUGUCAUUCGUUUAAUCUCGCCGAGGGUACCUAAAACGGCUACAAUUUCAUAGGUAGGUACGCAAUACGCAUGUUUAACUUAAACCCUAUUAGUGGCAGGCUCCUGGCUACCCCUAGUCCCUACAUAUUAGUGGCAAGGGGAGGGCCGGGCUGUUUACGCCCCCCCUUGAUAUCCGAGAUCUAACCCGCUGAUUUUUGCAAUUUAAACGGCAUUCGAUUCCACUGGACAACUUCAGAUACUUUUUGACUGUUUACCGCGGCUAAGGCCACAUGAAUAUAAUGAAUUCAAUCGAUCCAGGGCAAUCUAACUACUACCAAAGCGUUCAUCAGAUGGUACAGUGCAUGUACCUAUACAUGAAACUCUUUUUGUAUACCUGGAUCCGCCUAUUAUGGGAAAAACGUAUCAAAAGAUGAUGCACAACCACUCUGCCAUAGAUAACAUGAUUCAUGUUAUGUUUGAUUCUGCAUAUGUUAUCACAUGGUAGGUUUUAGUCGCUGUUCAUAAAACUGGUGCAUACAGUUAGGUACCUAUAAUGGAUCUGACAUCAGCAUCGUGGUGUUCACCCAAAACACUCACUUUACGAAUAGGAGCUCCCGAUUUCUGAUGGUCUGAAACCGCCCCUGUUACAGGUAGCAGCUUGAAAUUUUUAGGGAAUGUGUCCAGUUUAGUUUUAAGCAGAGUCAGCAACUUUCAGCAUUUUACCUUUAGGCCGUUCCAGAGGGAUUCUUGAAAAACCUGAGGCGUUGAUGACCCCCCCCCCCUCCCCCUCCGCCACAAAUAGGGUGAACGGUACAAACGGCGAUGCACUACUCAGCUUUGUUGAUGUUUGGAAGGAGAUUCCGCUGAACCAGCAAUAACGGUUAUUGGUGCAUUGGUGAAUCGUUUCAGUUGGUGUGGGCUAUUGUGUUACCUUUUAUGCACUACUUAUGAGUGUAGGUAUUUUUUGGCAAACGCGAUAUGAAACUACAAUGUUCCGGUUAUCAGUGAAUACAUUUUUUGAAUA